AGUGAACGCUGGCGGUAGGCCUAACACAUGCAAGUCGAACGGCAGCACAGUAAGAGCUUGCUCUUACGGGUGGCGAGUGGCGGACGGGUGAGGAAUACAUCGGAAUCUACUUUUUCGUGGGGGAUAACGUAGGGAAACUUACGCUAAUACCGCAUACGACCUACGGGUGAAAGCAGGGGAUCUUCGGACCUUGCGCGAUUGAAUGAGCCGAUGUCGGAUUAGCUAGUUGGCGGGGUAAAGGCCCACCAAGGCGACGAUCCGUAGCUGGUCUGAGAGGAUGAGAGACCCAAUGGGAAGGGGACCGAGCCCCGGCCCCAGGAGGGAGGCACCAGGGGGAAAUUGGGGACAAGGGGCGCGAGCUUGACCCAGCAAACCGGGGGGGUGAAAGAGGGCUUGUGGUUUGAAAGCCCUUUUUUUGGGAAAAAAAAAGAAGAGGGUAAACACCCGGUUGUCGGGACGGACCCCAAAAAAAAAGCACCGGCUAACUCCGUG
rnacentral:rRNA from 1 species